rnacentral:rRNA from 1 species
GUGCCAGCAGCCGCGGUAAUACGGAGGGUGCGAGCGUUAAUCGGAAUUACUGGGCGUAAAGGGCGCGUAGGCGGUCGCGCAAGUCGGGUGUGAAAGCCCCGGGCUCAACCUGGGAAUUGCAUUCGAUACUGCGUAACUAGAGUCUGGUAGAGGGAAGCGGAAUUCCGCAUGUAGCGGUGAAAUGCGUAGAUAUGCGGAGGAACACCAGUGGCGAAGGCGGCUUCCUGGACCAAGACUGACGCUGAGGCGCGAAAGCGUGGGGAGCAAACAGGAUUAGAUACCCUGGUAGUCCACGCCCUAAACGAUGAGGACUAGACGUUGGGGGGAUAAAACCCCUUAGUGUCGCAGCUAACGCGUGAAGUCCUCCGCCUGGGGAGUACGGCCGCAAGGUUGAAACUCAAAUGAAUUGGCGG